AGUUAUCUUCGGAUAAUGAGACCGGCGCACGGGUGCGUAACGCGUAUGCAAUCUACCUUUCACAGAGGGAUAGCCCAGAGAAAUUUGGAUUAAUACCUCAUAGUAUAGUAGUCUCGCAUGAGACCACUAUUAAAGAUUUAUCGGUGAAAGAUGAGCAUGCGUCCCAUUAGUUAGUUGGUAAGGUAACGGCUUACCAAGACUACGAUGGGUAGGGGUCCUGAGAGGGAGAUCCCCCACACUGGUACUGAGACACGGACCAGACUCCUACGGGAGGCAGCAGUGAGGAAUAUUGGACAAUGGGCGCAAGCCUGAUCCAGCCAUGCCGCGUGCAGGAUGACGGUCCUAUGGAUUGUAAACUGCUUUUAUACAGGAAGAAACACUGGUUCGUGAACCAGCUUGACGGUACUGUAAGAAUAAGGAUCGGCUAACUCCGUGCCAGCAGCCGCGGUAAUACGGAGGAUCCAAGCGUUAUCCGGAAUCAUUGGGUUUAAAGGGUCCGUAGGCGGUCAGAUAAGUCAGUGGUGAAAGCCCAUCGCUCAACGGUGGAACGGCCAUUGAUACUGUCUGACUUGAAUUAUUAGGAAGUAACUAGAAUAUGUAGUGUAGCGGUGAAAUGCUUAGAGAUUACAUGGAAUACCAAUUGCGAAGGCAGGUUACUACUAAUAUAUUGACGCUGAUGGACGAAAGCGUGGGUAGCGAACAGGAUUAGAUACCCUGGUAGUCCACGCCGUAAACGAUGGAUACUAGCUGUUGGGAGCRAUCUCAGUGGCUAAGCGAAAGUGAUAAGUAUCCCGCCUGGGGAGUACGAACGCAAGUUUGAAACUCAAAGGAAUUGACGGGGGCCGCACAAGCGGUGGAGCAUGUGGUUUAAUUCGAUGAUACGCGAGGAACCUUACCAAGGCUUAAAUGUAGAUUGACCGGUUUGGAAACAGACUUUUCGCAAGACAAUUUACAAGGUGCUGCAUGGUUGUCGUCAGCUCGUGCCGUGAGGUGUCAGGUUAAGUCCUAUAACGAGCGCAACCCCUGUUGUUAGUUGCCAGCGAGUCAUGUCGGGAACUCUAACAAGACUGCCAGUGUAAACUGUGAGGAAGGUGGGGAUGACGUCAAAUCAUCACGGCCCUUACGCCUUGGGCUACACACGUGCUACAAUGGACGGUACAGAGAGCAGCCACUGGGCAACCAGGAGC
rnacentral:rRNA from 1 species